rnacentral:lncRNA from 1 species
UUCAACUUGAAUAUGCGAUAAAAAAUUUCAAAUACGAUUCAUAUAUAUAUAUAUAUAUAUACUAGAUGAGGGAAGCCCGUGCUUAGCACGGACCCAAUAUAAAUUUAAGAAACAUCAAAAAGAAAUAAUGAAAAUAUUAGUAAGAUGCAAUAUGAGGCUUGUAGGGAAAAAUGCGUAUUCACUACAUAAUGAGUUGGCAUUAUUAAAUAAUGGCAAAGGAGUAACUUCAAUUUUUCCCUUUGAACAUAUAUACAGGAAAAAUCUGAUCUUCGUUAGAAUGCAACAAGAAGUGUAAAGUUGGUAUUGAUUAGGUUGAGUCGGUCUAUGGUUUAUGUAUUUCUCUCUUUUCUUUUCCUUGAGUCUUCAUGAUAUCUGGUGAUUGUAUAUAUCUGCAGAAGAUCUGAAACAUUAUUUUAGUAUUAAGAUUAUUUAUAUGGAGAUUAAACUGCAACCAGGAAGCUGGGAAGAUAUUCAUUUAAGAAUUCAAAGUUAAAAGUUUAUAAGUUGCAGGAAAAGCACAAAGCUACAAGUUUGUAGAAAUUCUGUUGGAAAAGUUAAAGAGUAAUUUUGUAUAGAACUUUAGGAUAACUUAGCACGAAAAAAGUGAGAUUUGGCAGAUUCAUUUGUAGCAACUGCACAAAAGAGAAUAAUAAACAUGUCUAAGUUUUAAAAAAAAAAAAACGCAAAAAGAAAGGAUAUAGGUGACAUUACCAACAUAAUUUAGCUAUAAUUAUAUAAAUAAAAGUAGUGAGUACUCAUCAACUCCAGGGUAACUCACCAUGGAAAAAGUCAGACUUGUCAAAUUCAUUUGUAGCAACUGCGUAGAAGAAAAUUGUAAACAUCUCUAGACAAUUAACUUUCGAAUUGAAAUCUUCAGUGGCAACUUGUUCUCGGUAACUUUUACAUCCUUCAAUGAUGACUUACUAUAGAAGAAAUGUCCUAAUACAACGAAACUCAUUCAUUAGAUUGCCCAUGCUUUGAUGUGAUAACCUUUCUCCAUAAAGCAGUGUCCUCAACAUUGAAUCUCAAUAGCCAUUUUACUGAGAGGCUCGUUUAUCAUGAUCAUCCCGCCUUACAACCCAACCUAAACUAUUAGUUCCAUAACUUGAUGUUUGUGUCAUGCCUCUAAAACUUUGCAAAUAAAUUGAGUGUUAACAUACUAAAUGUAUAUUAUGAAUCACGUAAAUUAACAACAAUGGGCACUGAACACAAAAAGUCACUGACGCACACUCUAGUACGUACAUCCAAUUGUAAUCAAGUGUAAAAACAGGAAAAUGAAUUUGAGCACAUCAUGGAACGGAAAACGUGAGCUUUGGAUGUCAUAACUAAGUAUAUAGAACAAGAAGAGUGAAGAAGUAACCUUCCUUGUUUGUUAAGUAGAACAAAUUUGAGACUGUAUUGUGUGUUUCCAUGUUUACAGCAGUAAAAUAAAUCGAAUUUUCGAAGGCCAACAACAUAUCAUAGUAAUAGAAUGUAUAGGCAUCUAAUUAAGAAGUGGACAUCUAAGUUGCGUGGACUCUUCACUUUCGAUGUCGCACCCGUGUCGGUUUCUCCAAAAAUACACUAUUUUUGACAAAUUCGACACACCCCUUGACAUUUUUGAAUAGUAUAUGCGAAUAGUUGAAGAGUACACUACCAUGAGAAGACUACAUGUACAUUACCGAACAAUGAAAUUCUGUUAUAGGUAGUAUAAAUAACAUGUGAAUCACAGAUAUUAACUGUUACAAAAGAUCCUUUCUUAUAAUCUUAUUAGAGGAAAGUGUAUAUGUGCAUAUAAGAGCACAUCUAUUUCAGUAUGAAAUAUUUAUGUUAACUAUUUGUUAAUUAUUCAAUAUGAUGCCACCUGAUUGUUAUAUACCAAUUUCAAUUCCAGCAACACCUAACCAUUUAGCACAUUAUCAGUUGCCAUUAUUCAUGGUUCAUUUUCAUUCAUUAGUUCUCAGCUACAAUGGGUAUGUUAAUUAAGAAGAAGAAUUCUGGUGGCCUGGGAAGUUGAAGGCGGAAGAGGAACGCAACAAAGUCACAGCGAGCAGAAUAGUUUAGCUAAACCAUCAAGGGUCCAACUGUGUGAAUGAGAUUCUUUCGCUAUUAAUUAAAAGUUAGUAAAUUUUUCUAAUUAGCUUUACACACUUGUUUUCUUUGUCGAUACAUAAAUAGAUUAGCACUAAGAGUUAUGAACAACAAGCUGCAGGACUUCUUGGUUUUGCUCUUCCAAGGAACCAAUAUUGGAGUUUAGUUUAUUACAAAUUCUCGGCUGACUAAUCAUAGUUUCUGGCCGUUGAGAAACUCUCUGUUGCGGGAAAAUGUGGUUAUGAUAUUCAACAAACGGUAAAAUCAGCAGGUGUACUUUAUAAAAAAAAUUUCCUAAGCUAUACAAAAUUUCAUAUAAGGUUCAAUGAGGAAUUUUGAUGAACAUUUAGCGGCUAAAGCUAAUUAUUAACAGGGCAAGAAAAAACAUAAAAUGCAUACAAGCAAGACAGUAAACAACAAACCACGAAGAGGAAACAUAGAACUCACAGUUACAUAGGCAGAGAGAAGCAAAGCGCUUUGCACAAGCCGAACUAUCAAGAGGUGCGAAGAAGGUAAACAAUUUCAACAGAGAUGAUGAAUGCGGCAGUUGACAAGAGGAAGAGGAAGCAGCGAGGUAAUAGCUGUAAAAGAUUUGGGCUACGCGUGGCAGGCAAAGUUGUGUAAUUGGAAAGAUUGUAAUACCCUUUUCGAUGACACAGACAUGUUGAGGAGCUGUGUGCUUACUGGCAUUUAUCAUAUAGUAGAAUAUAUAUAAAGGUCAAGUGAUCUCAGUUCGGG